AAGUCGUAACAAGGUUUCCGUAGGUGAACCUGCGGAAGGAUCAUUAACACGUAUCCAAACGUUAACCCCCCUGUGAACCUUUAGUGUGCUCGUACGCUUUGUCAGAGCGUGGCAAUCCCUAGUAAAUCAUCGCCGAACAGUUUUCGAUUUAGGGACUUCCACAAAGAGUGUGCUCGUAGCGCGAGGCAAGUGGCCUGGCAUUCCCAAGCAGUUGGUGUCUGAAAGUGUCACUGGCUGUGUAAGGAUAGGCCGACACGGCCGACGACCGGGUCACCGGGCUCACGCCCCUUAAUCACAACUUAAUGCAUGUCAGACGCGCCUGCGCUUAAUUGUGCGGCGACCAUAAAACUCGAACAACUGUUAACAAUGGAUAUCUUGGUUCUC
rnacentral:misc_RNA from 1 species